rnacentral:lncRNA from 1 species
GGGUAGUAAACUAACAAAACAGUAGCUCCAAUGCCAUAAUUCAUAUUCAAACGGAGAAAAAUCAACUUAGAUGUGUAGUAAACUUUUACUGGGGGUAGUAACCUUGCAAAACAGUAGCUCCAAUGCCAUUAUACACAUUAAAACAAUGAAAAAUCAACUUAAAUGUGAAAAAAUAAAAUUUACUACCCCCAGUAAACUUUACUGGGGGUAGUAAACUUGCAAUACAAUAUUUUCCUAGUCAGUAUAUACAUUAAAACACAAAAAAAAUCAACUUAGAUGCGGACAAAUAAAGUUUACUGCCCCUAGUAAACUUCUAUUGGGGGUAGUAAACCUGCAAUACAAUAUUUCCUAGGUCAGUAUACACUUUAAAACAACAAAAACCCAACUUAUAUGCGAAAAAUUAAACUUUUACUGGACCUAGUAAACUUUUACUGGGGGUAGUAAACAUGCAAUACAAUAUCUCCAUAGUCAUUAUACACAUUAAAAUAGAGAAAAAAAAUUAACUUAUAUGCUGAAAAGUAAACUUCUACUGGGGGUAGUAAACAUGCAAUACAAUAUCUCCAUAGUCAUUAUACACAUUAAAAUAGAGAAAAAAAAUCAACUUAUAUGCUGAAAAGUAAAGUUUACUACCCCUAGUAAACUUCUAAUAGGGGAAGUAAACUUACAAUAAAGUAUCUCAUUGACCAGUAGACACAGUAAAUUUACUACCUCCCAGUAAUAAAUCUAUUACCUCAGUAAAUCAUCAUUUUUAACCAAAGAAGUUGCUCUGGGCACCCAAAUUGAUUUUGACUUACGCCGGAGCUGAACCGCCGCAUUGGUGGACGCAGAGGGUCUGAUUCCAUGUCGGAGAUCCCUAGAGGAGGGAGGAGGGAGGUGGAGGGUGAACUAGAAGAGCNNNNNNNNNNNNNNNNNNNNCCAAAACUUCCUAAAAUUAGUAACUAAAUAGGCAUUUGUUACUUUUAAAAAAUCAUUAUGAAUUCUACCAAAGUUCAGAGGUAUUCAAUUAAGACUUUUUAAAAUGAAUAGAAGUUUAGAUGUAUUCAAAAUAUCAUUCAUACUUAUUGAAUUAAUAACUCAUGGAUAAUUGUGGACUUUAUAGUGUAAAUUAC